UUUCCGUAGGUGAACCUGCGGAAGGAUCAUUGUCGAAACCCUGCAAAGACAGAACGACCCGCGAAUCGGUGAAAUAAUCACCGGGGGAUCUUUCCCCCGGGGCCCUCUGCGAAGGGUGUGGCCAAAAUUCACGUCCUUCGCCGCGGGCAAAACUAACAAACCCCGGCGCGAGUCGCGCCAAGGAAAAUGAAGAAAGAUGCGCUCCCCCCGUCCCGGGAACGGCGCGGCGGGAGUUACAUCGUCGUUAUUGUAUUCCAAACGACUCUCGGCAACGGAUAUCUCGGCUCUCGCAUCGAUGAAGAACGUAGCGAAAUGCGAUACUUGGUGUGAAUUGCAGAAUCCCGUGAACCAUCGAGUUUUUGAACGCAAGUUGCGCCCGAAGCCGUCAGGCCGAGGGCACGCCUGCCUGGGUGUCACGAAAAGCCGUCUAGAGUCCCUCCUUCCCUCUCCUUUCCUCUCAACAAGGAAGGAGCGGAGCAGCGAGGGACGGCGGAUGCUGGCCUCCCGUGCGCGAGCGGUUGGCCCAAAAAAUAGGCCUGCCCGCGAGGCGGCCACGACACGCGGUGGUUGAAAGCGCACGCUCUCCACGAACACCGUCGUGGGCGGCCUCGUUUACGGGGAGCCGAAGACCCCCGACGCACAGCGUCAUCACGAAGCGACCCCAGGUCAGGCGGGAUCACCCGCUGAGUUUAAG
rnacentral:rRNA from 1 species